AGAAAAUCAGGUCGCAUACCUUGAAAUAAAGCGCCCCCUCUGCGUUUUAAAUGCAUACUCCCCAGGGUGACAGCGUUCAGCAAGUUACGGAGGAGAAGACGUCCGAGAAACACGGAUGCGCGACGGCUCAGUAUCCAGGCCGGUCCCAGAAACAAUACUCCCCAUCACCUGGAAGUACUUACCCAAAAAGCAAGCAAAAGAGCAAGGGCAUGUCUGCCUAAGGGCAAAUCUCACCAUUUCCAGUUAUUUCCUACGUUUUAAUUUUAUGUGAGCCUUUCAAGUAAUUACUGGAUUUUUUUUUUAGUGCAGUAAUUCUUUUUUCCUAUACAGCCAACUUACAUCCAUUGUGACAUGUUUGUACUAUCCUCAACCCCCCACUUGGUUUAACUUUAUCUUUUUUGAAUUUUUAUUAGCGUUCUCUUUUUACAUCUCUAGUAGAAUUGAAUCACUUUACUGCCAAUCCUCUUGAUUUAUUCAUGGGUAUACAUGUAGUGAGUAUUGUUUUCAAGCUUGUGGAGCUGUAAGACAUUUGCUAUUUUGUUUUCUCAGUGGAAUAUGUAAACUGAGGGGGUAAGUGUGCUAGGACACAAGUAGUUUAUGGAACUGCAACCGUAAGGGAGCAGAAAUCUGCAGAUGGGACACAAGCAGCAAAAAUAUACAUUUAACCUCUUUUCUGGCUGGAACCAUGGCGGCUGUUGAAGAGAAGAAAAAGAAGGUUCCUGCUGUGCCAGAAACCCUUAAGAAAAAGCGAAAGAAUUUCGCAGAGCUGAAGAUCAAGCAUCUGAGAAAGAAGUGUGCCCAAAAGAUGCUUCGAAAGACAAGGAGGAAGCUUAUCUAUGAAAAAGCUAAGCGUUAUCAUAAAGAAUACAAGCAGGUGUACAGAACUGAGAUUCAGAUGGCAAGAAAAGCUGGCAACUUCUACGUACCUGUAGAACCCAAAUUGGCAUUUGUCAUCAGGAUCAGAGGUAUCAGUGGUGCGAGUCCAAAGGUCCGAAAGGUGUUGCAGCUUCUUCGCCUUCGCCAGAUCUUCAAUGGAACUUUUGUUAAGCUCAAUAAGGCUUCCAUUAACGUGCUGAGGAUUGUAGAACGGUAUAUUGCAUGGGGGUAAUACCCAAAUCUGAAGUCAGUAAAUGAGCUAAUCUACAAGCGUGGUUAUGGCAAAAUCAAUAAGAAACAAAUUGCGUUGACUGAUAACAGUUUGUGCGAUCUCUUGGUAAAUGUGGCAUCAUCUGCAUGGAGGAUCUGGGAUCUGAUUCAUGAGAUCUAUACUGUUGGAAAACGCUUCAAAGAAGCAAAUAACUUCUUGUGGCCCUUCAAGUUAUCAUCUCCACGGGGGGGAAUGUAGAAAGAAACAACCCACUUUGUAGAAGGUGGAGAUGCUGGUAACAGGGAAGACCAGAUCAAUCGGCUUAUUAGAAGAAUGAACUAAGGUAUCUCCCCUGAUUGUUUUUGUAAUUUGGUCAGUUAAUAAACAGUGACUGCUUUCAAAUUGAAAAAAAAACAUUAUAUAUAUAUAAUAUUUAUAAUGUAUAUAUAUAUACAUUUAAAUUAAAUUUUUCAAGUUUCCUCCAGAUUGAUUGAUGGAGACAGGGUCUUGCUCUGUUGCCCAGGCAAGCUGAAGUGCAGUGGUGUGACCAUAGCUCACUGCAACCCCAAGGACCAUAGGCUUAUGCCAUCAUACCAGGCUAAUUGUGAAAAAAGCUUUUCUUCUAAAGAGAGUCUUACUAUGUUUUGGAGGCUGAUCUUGAACUCCAGCAUUCCUCCUACCUCACCCUUGCAAAGUGUUUGGAUUAUAGGCAAGAGCCACUAUACCCAGUCCUGUUUUGUUUUGUUUUUAAUGUUAGAUUCAUCGAUUCAUUGAGAUCCAGUCAUUGAUUUACAUGCAGUAAAAUUCACUAAGGGUUUUAUCAAUUUUGACAAAUACCUACAGUCAUGUAACCACAACCAAGAUAUUGAAUCAAAGUAUUUUCACCACCCAAAAGAGUUCUAGCUCCCCUUAGUAAACUUCUUAUCCAUCUUCUGGAAACCCCUAAUGAGUUUUUGUUCCAUAGUUUUGGCUAUUUUCCAGACCAUCAUAUGGACACAAUCAUUUAACAUGUAGCCUUUGAGUCUGGCUUCUUUUAACUUAGCAUAAUGCCCUCGAGAUUCACUGAAGCUGUUGAACAGGAAUCUGUUCCUUUUCGUAGAUAAGUAGUAUUUCAUAGUAUGAAUGUGCCAUUAUUUAUCUAUUCACUGGUUGAA